GGCUUCUGAUCCGACUUUCCCUGUGUGGGAGCCUGUGGUGUCCUCACCUUUCAAAGUCUUCGUUCCCUAGAGUUUUGGGGAAGAGAUAGGUAUAGAAUGGCAGGAGACGGGAAAGGGAGCUAAAAGUCACCUGAGAGAAACAAGAAAAAGGUAAGGGGCCCCCAAGAAGGGAGAGGCUUAGCAGCUAAAGGGCUGGGAAGUGUCUAGGAAUUCUGGGCUCCUUGGGGCCCUUGCCAUUCCCGGUCAUUUCUCCCAGGCCUGCGGGGUGUGGCGGAGCCAUGGCAGACAGCCGUGUCCCUCCGUGGGGGCAUCAGGCAACGGGGAGGGUGUUGACAACAACAGUGUGUGAGGCAGCUGGGCCAGCAGUCUGGAAAAAGCCAUGUGAGCAGACAGAAUGUAAACAGGGAGCUCUUGGCGUUGAAGGAGUUGAAGGCGUCUCCUGGCCCCCUCUCCACCCCAGGUCUCAUUCCCGCCAUGCCCAGGAAGCCAGACCUGGACACCUCUUGUCAGCUUCUCUCUACCAGGUUUCCUGCAUCUACACCCUUUUGGAGCAACUUUUCCAGACCACCUUCCCAAUCUGCGCAUUGGUCCUUCUGUUUCUCAUCGUGCUGGAACCCUACUCACUGAGCAAGGACUGGUCUUGACCCCGUCUGGCUCUACAGCAGGAAAGCUCAGGUCAUGAUCUGACAGUUGGUGGAAUCGAG